AGUGAACGCUGGCGGUAGGCCUAACACAUGCAAGUCGAACGGCAGCACAGUAAGAGCUUGCUCUUACGGGUGGCGAGUGGCGGACGGGUGAGGAAUACAUCGGAAUCUACUUUUUCGUGGGGGAUAACGUAGGGAAACUUACGCUAAUACCGCAUACGACCUACGGGUGAAAGCAGGGGAUCUUCGGACCUUACGCGAUUGAAUGAGCCGAUGUCGGAUUAGCUAGUUGGCGGGGUAAAGGCCCACCAAGGCGACGAUCCGUAGCUGGUCUGAGAGGAUGAUCAGCCACACUGGAACUGAGACACGGUCCAGACUCCUACGGGAGGCAGCAGUGGGGAAUAUUGGACAAUGGGCGCAAGCAUGAUCCAGCCAUACCGCGUGGGUGAAGAAAGCCUUCGGGUUGUAAAGCCCUUUUGUUGGGAAAGAAAAGCAGCAGGUUAAUACCCCGCUGUUCUGACGGUACCCAAAGAAUAAGCACCGGCUAACUUCGUG
rnacentral:rRNA from 1 species